UACGAAGGGGGCUAGCGUUGCUCGGAAUCACUGGGCGUAAAUGGUUCGUAGGCGGGUUUUUAAGUCAGGGGGGAAAUCCUGGAGCUCAACUCCAGAACUGCCUUUGAUACUGAAGAUCUCGAGUCCGGGAGAGGUGAGUGGAACUGCGAGUGUAGAGGUGAAAUUCGUAGAUAUUCGCAAGAACACCAGUGGCGAAGGCGGCUCACUGGCCCGGUACUGACGCUGAGGCACGAAAGCGUGGGGAGCAAACAGG
rnacentral:rRNA from 1 species